GACGAACGCUGGCGGCGUGCCUAAUACAUGCAAGUCGAACGCUUCUUUCCUCCCGAGUGCUUGCACUCAAUUGGAAAGAGGAGUGGCGGACGGGUGAGUAACACGUGGGUAACCUACCCAUCAGAGGGGGAUAACACUUGGAAACAGGUGCUAAUACCGCAUAACAGUUUAUGCCGCAUGGCAUAAGAGUGAAAGGCGCUUUCGGGUGUCGCUGAUGGAUGGACCCGCGGUGCAUUAGCUAGUUGGUGAGGUAACGGCUCACCAAGGCCACGAUGCAUAGCCGACCUGAGAGGGUGAUCGGCCACACUGGGACUGAGACACGGCCCAGACUCCUACGGGAGGCAGCAGUAGGGAAUCUUCGGCAAUGGACGAAAGUCUGACCGAGCAACGCCGCGUGAGUGAAGAAGGUUUUCGGAUCGUAAAACUCUGUUGUUAGAGAAGAACAAGGACGUUAGUAACUGAACGCCCCCUGACGGUAUCUAACCAGAAAGCCACGGCUAACCACGUG
rnacentral:rRNA from 1 species